GACACUGAUUCUGGUGUGCCUGGUAUGUGGCCUAUGGGGAUGAUAAGGUCUGGUAUUGGAGAUUGGUACUUGAAAGUCAAUGGUUGAUCAUGAUGACCAUCUUUAAUUUAAUGGGGAAAGAUUAACCAAUAUUUGCAGCUGGAGAGGCUAUCACCACAGUUCAAUGAUUUAGUUAAGACAAUGAAAUAGAAGAACUUCAUGCUAACACUUGCAUCAGUGGAAGUACUUCUUAUUGGAUAGAGAACUUUACAAGGUCAGCCACCAGCUUUUGAAGUUGCUUUCUUGGCACAUCAUGCUGUCCAGUGGAGUUCAUACCAUAUGCCAGGUCUUUAUACAUGGUCAAAGAAGAUGAAUUUGUUAUUCAAUUUGUGAAAUUUGAUUUAAGGAGGACUUUCAUAUAUGAUGAUUAUAUUCAGCAGAUUAUCUUCAAGUGUGCACUUCAUAGAAUCACAGUUUCUAGGAGGUUUUCAGUUUAAAGUUAGAUUAAUUGAAA
rnacentral:lncRNA from 1 species